GGAGUUAGCCGGUGCUUCUUCUGCGAGUAACGUCACAGAUGUAAGGUAUUAACUUACACCCUUUCCUCCUCGCUGAAAGUGCUUUACAACCCGAAGGCCUUCUUCACACACGCGGCAUGGCUGCAUCAGGGUUUCCCCCAUUGUGCAAUAUUCCCCACUGCUGCCUCCCGUAGGAGUCUGGGCCGUGUCUCAGUCCCAGUGUGGCUGAUCAUCCUCUCAGACCAGCUAGGGAUCGUCGCCUAGGUGAGCCUUUACCUCACCUACUAGCUAAUCCCACCUGGGCUUAUCCAUCAGCGCAAGGCCCGAAGGUCCCCUGCUUUCCCCCGUAGGGCGUAUGCGGUAUUAGCAGUCGUUUCCAACUGUUAUCCCCCACAAAUGGGCAAAUUCCCAGGCAUUACUCACCCGUCCGCCGCUCGUCAUCUUCAAAGCAAGCUUUUGAAAUGUUACCGCUCGACUUGCAUGUGUUAGGCCUGCCGCCAGCGUUCAAUCUGAACCAGAUCAAACUCUGA
rnacentral:rRNA from 1 species